GUUAGCCAUUCUAGUAGUAGAGCGCGCGGUUUAAAAAUGGAAAAAAAAAAUGAUCUUAUACUACAGCUCCAUGGAUGCGGAAGCCAUGACGCUAUCCGACUACUGCCUGAUACCGCAUGUGCACUAUUCUGGGCUUCUGGCAGACUGGCCCAGACGACUGGAGUAGACAGUAGACACAAACCAUCUACCGAAAAACCAUGUCAAGUGGGAACACCGAACGGAAACGGAGACCGGGAGCCACGCGCGCGUCACUGUCCAGGCCAGGUGGGAUGCACACACGAACGGCCGUACC
rnacentral:lncRNA from 1 species